rnacentral:rRNA from 1 species
UACGUAGGGUCCGAGCGUUGUCCGGAGUUACUGGGCGUAAAGCGCGCGCAGGCGGCGGUGCUGGCCCGGCGUGAAAGCCCCCGGCUCAACCGGGGAGAGUCGUCGGGGACCGCACCGCUUGAGGGCGGUAGGGGCUGGUGGAAUGCCUGGUGUAGUGGUGAAAUGCGUAGAGAUCAGGCAGACACCUGGGGCGAAGGCGGCCAGCUGGGCCGUCCCUGACGCUGAGGCGCGAAGGCGUGGGGAGCGAACGGG